rnacentral:rRNA from 1 species
GACGAACGCUGGCGGCGUGCUUAACACAUGCAAGUCGAGCGGUAAGGCCCUCUUGGGGGUACACGAGCGGCGAACGGGUGAGUAACACGUGGGUGACCUGCCCUCAGCUCUGGGAUAAGCCUGGGAAACUGGGUCUAAUACUGGAUAUGACCUUUCCUCGCAUGGGGUUGGGUGGAAAGUUUUUCGGCUGGGGAGUGGGCCCGCGGCCUAUCAGCGUGUUGGUGGGGUGAUGGCCUACCAAGGCGACGACGGGUAGCCGGCCUGAGAGGGCGACCGGCCACACUGGGACUGAGACACGGCCCAGACUCCUACGGGAGGCAGCAGUGGGGAAGUAUUGCGCAAUGGGCGGAAGCCUGACGCAGCGACGCCGCGU